CCUAAGUAUAGAACUGUGCUCAGUUCUGAAUACAGCAUGGACAAGUGGGCAUUUAUAGCCAAGGAGCAGAAUGGAGAUCAGUGGAUGGAAAAUUACUAAGAGGAAACAUCAGGGAUAGGGUGGAUCCUGGUUAAACCAACUGACAGGAUUCUUGCUGGAGGCAGGCCAGAGUGAUUAGAUACCCAAGGUGGGAGAUUCAUGCUAAACUGACUUAGCAGGAUUCUUGCUAAAACUGGGUGAUACAGAGAUUAAUGUGGAAGGCCAAAGGUUGAGGCCUAGUUGAGAAGAGGGUUCAGAGGAGCUUGAUUAAAAUUUGGUCAAUGUGAGAGUCUUUGUCAAUGUAUAUAUUUGUGUAUAUAUAUGCCAAAAACUCUGUGAAUUUCUCAAUAUUUAAAAGAUUUCUUAAGAUUCUAUUGUGAAGAUUUCAGCUUGAUGAAGAAAUGACAAAUAUGUGUACAGGUUGUAUGUUGGAAAAUUUCCUACAGACUAUUAUGAUUUCCUUCCUUUGGAAAAAAAUGAAGGAAAAAAUACUAUAUUUAGAAUUUAGAUAGUGUAUUUUUGUUUCAGAUAUAUGAUAAAUGGUCAGUGAGGCCUAGUUAGAAGGACAUUUUGAUUUCUAUACUUUUUUUUUUUUGCCAACCUUUUUUCCUCCCUUAGUAAGAUAAAACAUUUGAAUAGUAACUAGAUUCUCUACUUGUCUUGCUGGGUUUUGGGAGGGAGCUGGCAAAAAAGUGAUAAUCCUCUACUUUUGAUGCCAAAUCUUGGGAAAGACAGUCUGGUGAGAUGCAGGCUUUACUCUAAAGUCUCAGAGCUGUGGGAUGGGGAGCACUGUGGUAAGAAGUCUAAGCCCUCAUCUAGGGGUAUUGGAUUCUGUUACCUCCAACAUGGGUAGAUGGUGCUUGGAGAUACAGCUGUAUUCCUUCAGCUUACCCCAAGGCAAGAAAUUCAGGGAUCCUCAUAUCUGACCCAUAAUUCAUGAGGAGACAAUGCCACAACAUCCCCAUCAGCCGUAUCUAUCUCAAGACGAAGAGUAUUUGUAUACGACCCUACAUGUGACAAAAAGUGGGAGAUUAAGGAUGAUUAUGAUAAUAAUAAUAUCUGCUCCUUUAGUAUGUGCCAAACACUCCUUUGAGCUCCCUCUCAAACUCAGUAUGCCUCAGAUCAGAGUCAUCUGUUCUCCUAAAACCUGGUUCUGUUCUGGCGUCCCUUUUCUUAAUAAGUGGAAUCACCAUAUAUUUUUUUCUUCUAACCAGAAACUACCUGUCUUUAGGAGCUCCCUUACCCUCGCUCCCCGUAUGCUAUGCCAAGUCAAGUUCUGUCAGUUUAUCUCGGCAAUUCAUCCUUUUUUCUUUCUGCUGCUACCACACUAGUCCAUAAUCUGGGCAUAGAUUACUGUCGAAGAUUCUAUUCAUAUGUACCACUGCAAUAAUAUUUUACAGUAGCAUCACACAUCCACCUUUUUCAACCUCCCCACCUCCAACACAUCAGAAAUUCAUUCUCCAUACUACAACUGGAGGCUUCCUUUUGUAAUGUAAAUCUGGUCACAUCCUCUUCUACUAAAAAAGUAUCAGUAACUUUUUGUGGCUCUUAAGAUUAAGAUCACAAUUCUUACCAUAGCUUACAAUAAAUACUUAAUGUUGAGAGUUGAGAAAUGUAUCAAUGUGUGGAAUAGCCAGGCACUUUCUAAUAUGGCAUAUUUUUGAAUUUAUACAUUUAAGGACCUACAGUCAAGAUGGUACUCUCAUGGAUUGAUGUUUAGUUAAUGAGGUAAACAGGUUUAACUUAGAUUGAUAAAUUUGUAAAAUUAGUAGACAUUUUAAAUUGCUCAUUAUUUGUGUAUUAUAAACACCUGUUUUUCUAUGUUCAUCCUUUUUUUUCUUCCAGCGUUAUUGAGAUACAGUUGAUGUAUAACACUGUGUAAGGUUAAGGUAUACAGUGUGAUGAUUUGAUACACAUAUAUAUUGUGAAGUGACUACCACAAUAGGGUUACUAAACACCUUUAUCACCUUAUUAUUUUUUUGUGUGUGUGGUGAGAAUGUUUAAGAUCUACUCUUUUAAUAACUUUCAAGUAUAUAAUACAGUAUUGUUAGCUAGAGUCACCAUGCUGUAUAUUAGAUCCCCUGAACUUAUUCAUCUUGAAACUGGAAGUUUAUACUUUUUACCAACAUCUUCCCAUUUCCCCCACCUCUAAGCUCUUGGCAACCACUGUUCUACUCUGUUUCUGUUAGUUUGGCUUUUUUCAGAUUCCACAUAUAAGUGAGGUCAUACAGUAUUUGUCUCUCUGUGUCUGACUUAUGUCACUUAACAUAAUGCCAUCAAGAUCCAUCCAUUUUGUAGCAAAUGGCAGGAUUUUCUUCCUUCUCGUGGCUGAAUAAUAUAUGUGUGUGUUUAACAUUUUCUUUAUUCAUCCAUUGAUGAACACUUAGGUUGUUUCUGUGUCUUGGCUUUUGUGAAUACGGCUGCAAUGAACAUGGGCUUACAGGUAUCUCUUUGGGUUCCUGAUUUCAUUUCCUUUGGAUAUAUACCCAGAAGUGUGAUUGCUGGAUUGUAUGGUGGUUCUAGUUUCAAUUUUUUGAGGAACCUACCUACUGUUUUCCAAAGUGAAUGUACCAGUUUAUGUUCCUUCCAACAGUGCACGAGGAUUCCCUUUCUCCACAUCCUCGCCAACACUUGUUAUUUGUUAUCUCUUUGAUAAUAGUCAUUCUAACAGAUGUGAGGUGAUAUCUCGUUGUCUUAAUUUCCCUGAUGAUUAGUGAUGUUGAGCAUCUUUUCAUGUACCUGUUAGCCAUUUAUAUAUCUUCUUUUGAAAAAUGUUCACUUUCUCUGCCGGUUUUUUUUUUUUUUUUUUUUGCGGUACGUGGGCCUCUCACUGCCGUGGCCUCUCCCGCUGCGGAGCACAGCAGGCUCAGCCGCCAUGGCUCACGGGCCCAGCCGCUCCGCAGCACGUGGGAUCCUCCCGGACUGGGGCACAAACCCCCGCCCCCUGUAUCGGCAGGCGGACUUCCAACCACUGCGCCCUCUCUGCCGAUUUUAAAAUUGGAUUGUUUGGGGGUUUUUUUUGCUGCUGAGUUGUAUGAGUUACUUGUAUAUUUUGGAUAGUAACCCUUUAUUGGAUAUGUGGUUUGCAAAUAUUUUCUUGCAUUCCAUAGAAUUGCAAAAGAAGAUUGCCUUUUCAUUCUGUUGAUUUUUUCUUUCACUGUGCAGAAGCUGUUUAGUUUGGUAUAGUCACAUUUAUUUAUUUUUGCUUUUGUUGCUUAUGCUUUUGGUGUCAUAUCCAUAAAAUCAUAAAAUCAUUGUCAUAUCCAAUGUCAAGGAGAUAUCCCCCUAUGUUUUCUUCUAGGAGUUGUAUAGUUUCAGGUCUUAAGUUUAACAUCCUUUUUUGUCACUAGACCACUUGCCUCCAAAAUGAAUGUUGCAAUUCUGUAAGCUGUCGUAGGGAGGUUUUGCAGAAAAUAGAUUCGUUUUGAAGAAUCUUUAAACAGUAUGAUGGAGAGUAGGCUUUAUAGCAGGUUGCUGGCGUCAUAGUUUGCAAUGUUCUCUUCCUUUCCCCCAACCUCUGCUACCCAGAUCACUACCCAAACACAACUGCAUUUAUUUUUCUGCAUGUCUGUUCUUUCGGCAAUAGCCAAAAUAUAUUUGCUCACUCCCGAGAAUAGAUUACACAAGAUUCUAAUCUACUUGUCCAAAUGGUACCUGUUGUAACUAGAAGGCCUUCAAAUAUUUUCUGAACAAAGGAAAAUUAUCUUGACUUAUUUUCUUUUGGAUAGAAUGGGAAAAUUUUUGUUUAUUUUUCUGUGGAGUCUUUUGGGGGUAUUGGGAUUUCUCUGGGGACAAUUUUGGGAUAAAGAAACUACUGCAUACAUCAAAAGAAUGUAAGGAUUUCUGCUACCCAACUGUCUAUAAGAUUUUACCUAAAGAUUUACAUUUUAAAAAGGCUAUUAAAUAGAGCUACUAAAAUAAGUAAUUAAAAGAUAAUGUAAAUUUCAAAGUAGACUAAUGUAGUAAGUUGAUAAAUGGGACUUUUCCUCUUCCCUCUGAUUUUGGGCUGAGGUCUCAGAGCUGAGAACAGAGCACAUCAGUGCCUGGAGAUUCUCAAGGAGGAUACUAUCCGAUCUGUGUAGAACUUGUUAUGGCCACAGUCCCUGCUAGGAAAGCAGUUCUAGGCAGUUCCUUGCAAAUGGUGGCUCUUUGCAGUGCCACGUGACUCUGCCAGUUCAUCUACAGCUGAUUGGUGAUUGUUGGACUCAGUAGUCCAUCCCUUCUUCUGUAGCCAGCCAGGGCCUACAAGAUGCUGCCAUGAAUGCACUGCCUGCAUAAUGGAAAUGGUCAUUUGCUGGUCAAUGAGAUUCUUUCUUUCUUUGAUUUUUUUUUAAACAGAAGUUACAGUGAUAUAGGCAGUUGGUUAUAGGAGCAAGAAUCAGAAAACACAAGUAAAUAACUGAGUCAUGUCAGUGUUGAAACAAUAAAAUAGAGAUCCACCCAACUCCUGCUAGAGCUGCCUGAAUCUAAAUAUUAAAAAAUGUUUUUUUUUAUCUGAUCAGGUUCUAUUUAAGUUUCAUGUAAGCUUGUUUUCAAGCAUAAGUGAGAUUUAGGCUACAGGGAGUUGUGCUCAUGGUUUGUCAGUUUACAAGAGGCAUUUUUUUCUACUUCCAUUCUUCAUACAUAUCUACUUAUCUGAGUGGCUACAGUUGUUGCACUAGUGAUUCUCUUUGAAAUUUUCACUAUAAUUCCUGUCCACUUGAGCUAUAAGAACUGACAGUGUCUUCAGUUGUCGUCAUGACUCCUUAGGCACCGGGAGUGCAGUUAGGCUGUCAGGAAAGGAAGGCUUGGUAAGAUAGUGUUUAUUUUACAGAGUAAUAAUCUUUUCUCUGAAUGUUGUUCUCAAUUCUAUUCCAGAAAGUGUCACUGCUAAAUAAAACUUCAUUUCAAGGAGAAAACAUGUAAUACACAGUCAGGAUUCCAUAGAGAGUUCAUCCUGUUGGCUUCUAGUGGGCUUGAAAUAAGAGAUUAAUGUGUAGUUAUAUAGAAAUCUAGUAGGUUAAACUGGAGAGCGGGAGAGAGAGAGAGAGAGAGAGAGAAUAUGACUGUGAGAGAAUACAGAUCUCUUCCAGGUUUAUACUUUCUCCACCAUGAACCUGAGAAGAUAGUCUGGCCUUUGUAAAUAACUGCAGGCCUCACUGAGUUUCUGUAGAUGUUCUGGAGAUAAAUUGUAUUGAAAUUCUCAUGAUCAUUACCAUCUCUGCCUGUUAAGUAGAUACUGGGGAAAACCUGUCUCUCCAAGGUAAAGGUAAAUUAGAAAUACAGAAUGUGCAGGGAACCCCAGCCUGACCUACUGGCUCUUGCUUUUCUUUCUGGUAGCUUUUCUCUCAGGUACCACUGAAGUGGCACCUUCCGACAACCUCUCUCUGUGACAGCACCUCUUGGUCUCGCUUCUUCUGAUUGACUCUUAUCGUAGGGGCCUCUCUUCAGCGGCUGUAGUUCUUCACGGUCCCUAGCAGUUCUCAGCUGCAGCCAUUCCCCGUAGCAGCGUUAAGCGGAUUUGACCCCAGGCCCCCUGCUUCCUCCUGUAGCAACAUCAUCUGAUCUCAGCCUUGCUUUUCACCUCAGCUCUCACCAGUCACUUCCUGCCUGCUUUCCCACCUCAGUGGACUUAUUCAUACCAAUAUAGUUGUGGUUUUCCAAAUAUAACCCACUGUUCAAUACCUGCUCCUCUUCAUGUCAGCCCCCAACUUCGGUUCAAAGGUUACUUUUUCUGAUUUCCCAGGUAGAAUUAACCACUGUCUCCUUUUUGCCCGUCAUCUGUACUCUAAACAUCUAUCAUAACAUCUAUAAUUCUUCGUUGCUCAUGUCUCCCUUGAAUAGAGCAGAAAUGAGUUAUCCCCACCAAGGCCUGCCCAAAUUGCAAAUUCUUGAGCAAAAUAAAUAUUGUUGCUCUUUUAAGCCACUAAAUUUUGGAGUAGUUUGUUAUGCAGUCAUAGAAACUGAGUUAGAUUUUGGUGUUUGGAGGUGGGGUGCCAUGUAACAGAAACCUCAAAAUGCAGCAGUGGCUGAAGCUAAACUAGACAGGACUAGACAGUGGGCAGACGGUGGAGGACCUUGAAGAGAUUGUUAGUGGAAACCUAAUGGCUCUCAAGGAGGAUGUGAAUGUUUAAAGGAAAGUGAAAAAGUAUCAUUGGGAGCUGGAGAAAAGAUCCUUGUUAUGUAAUAGCAGAAAGUUUAGCAACAUUGUACUUAUGGUAACGUGGAAAGUAGAAAACGGUUAUGAUGAAUUGCAUGAGUUUGAAGGUGUUUUCUGGCUAUUACUUGCUGCCUAUAGUAAAAUUGAUAGGACACAGUGCUGUGGUAUGAAGGCUUGUAUCCCCCAAGAUUCAAGUGUUAAUGCCGAAUGUGAUGGUACUAGGAGAUGGGGCCUUUGGGAGGCGCUUAGGUCAUAAUGGUGGAGCCCUCAUGAAUGGGAUUACUGCUUUUAUAAAAGAGACCCCGCAGAGCUCCCUAACCCUUUCCACUAUGAGAGAACACAGUGAGAAGUUGGCAGUCUGUAACCUGGAAGAGGGCUUUCACCAGAACCUAACCAUGCUGGCACAUUGAUCUUGGACUUACAGCCUUCAGAACUGUGAGAAAUACAUUUUUGUGGUUUAUAAGCCACCAACUUUGGCAUUUCGUUAAUAGCAGUCCAAGUGGACUAAGAAAGAGAAGCUAAGGAAAGAAUUGUUAAAUAUAGAGGAAGCAGAACUUACUGAGUUUGAAAAUAAAACUCAUUUUUCCAGUUUCUCCAGAUGGCAGACAAUUUUCAACUCUUCAGAUCAAGAGGAACUCUUCUCAAGGGGCUAUAUUUAAGGCACUAUACUCAAGAAGUUCAUCAAUACCUGUACCUCAAACCUCAGCCUGAUGUUAUGGGUAUCGGUGGGAGGGAAUGAGUAUAUUUUGCAUGUAGGAGGGAUGUGAACUGCUGUGGCCAGAAGGUGGACUGUGGCAUGUUAUAUUUUUGACGACUGGUCUCAGCAAUAUUUUUGGUCCCACAUGCUGUUUUAGAAACUUGCCACUUCCCAUCAAGAGACUGAGUUUACCUCCCCUGUCCUUGAACUUGGGCUGGACUUUGCACGGAUUAGUAGAAUUGGGGGAAGUGAUACUGUAUGACUUCCAAGGCUAGGUUCUAAAAGAUGGUACUGCUUCUGCCUGCCUCUCUCAGGAUGCUUACCUUUAGAAUCUAGCCACCCACUGUGGUGUGAGGAAGCCUAGGCCACAUAUUGAAGCCAUGUGUAGGUAUUCUGGCACCAGAUUCUCAUCUGACAGCAUCAACCACCAGAUUAGUGAAUGAGGCUUUAUAUAAUUGCAGUCCCCAGCCUUUGAGCCCUUCCAGCUGUUGCUGAGUGGAGCAGAGAUGAGCAGUCCUGUCCAAGCCCUGUCCAAAUUGCAGGUUCAUGAACAAAAAAAAUAUUGUUGCUUUAGGUCAAUAAGAUUUAGGGUAAUUUUUAAAUAUAAUCUUAGUAACUGAAGUAAGUAGAAUGGUUUAUAGUUUGGGGUUUAUUUAUUUUUUUAUUUUGUAUUUUUUGUGUGUGUGUGUGGUACGUGGGCCUCUCACUGUUGUGGCCUCUCCCGUUGCGGAGCACAGGCUCCGGAUGCGCAGGCUCAGCGGCCAUGGCUCACGGGCCCAGCCGCUCUGCGGCAUGUGGGAUCUUCCCGGACCGGGGCACGAACCCGUGUCCCCUGCAUCGGUAGGCGGACUCUCAACCACUGCGCCACCAGGGAAGCCCGGGUUUAUUUUUUAAUUAAGUUUUGGUAAUAAAGUUAUGCUGCCUUCAUGAAAUGAGA